UUUCAUAAUUCCAAAUGCGAUACAUGGAUUCAGGAGACAUAUCAAAUUAACUGCUUAACGCAACACUGUCGACUUUGGAUGACCCGCGGAAAUUAAAGGAAGGAAAACAUAAAAUCCUUUGAAUCAAGAUUAAGGUAUACAAAUACUUGCAUCUAAGGAAUGCCUUCGGAAAUAAUAAUAUUCAAUGAGUAGAAUCAAUUGUUGGUAAUCCUUUGUUGGUGACACUCUUAACACUGGGGUAGAUCUAGCGGCGGGGGUUGUAUGGAUUGCAG
rnacentral:misc_RNA from 1 species